rnacentral:tRNA from 1 species
GAAAUAAUAUAAAUAGAACUUCUAAUUCUAAAAAAAAUGUUUAAUCAUUUAUAUUUCU